AAACAAGUUCUUGUUUCUUGUGCAGUGUGGGAAUAAUAGAGCAGUAAUCUGGUGAGAUGUAACAUGUUCCCAGUGGUUGUGCCUUCUAUUGAAGUAUCGGAUGAAAAUAACUUGUUCGGUGUUGUUGGAGACCCGUGGUCUUCUUAUAACAAGGCGAAAUUCGCGAUUUGGAGACCCUGGAAGUUUGCUAUAUAUGCUAUAGCUAGCCUAGCUAGCCUGUGUGUGUAUAUAUGAAGAGAACAUAUCAUCGUGAAACCUUGAAAUUCCAUGAUGUUAACUCUCCCUUAUUUUCGUAAAUAUCUCAACCGUAUGACUUGACAUUCGGAUGAAAUUUUAUAAAUACUCAUUUUCUA